rnacentral:rRNA from 1 species
CGGGAGGCAGCAGUUAGGAAUCUUCCACAAUGGGCGAAAGCCUGAUGGAGCGACGCCGCGUGAGGGAUGAAGGCCCUCGAGUUGUAAACCUCUAAAAGGGGGACGAUAAUGACAGUACCCCUUGAAAAGCACCGGCUAACUCCGUGCCAGCAGCCGCGGUAAUACGGAGGGUGCAAGCGUUAUCCGGAAUCACUGGGCGUAAAGGGCGUGUAGGCGGCCUGUUAAGUCCGAUGUUAAAGACCGGGGCUCAACCCCGGCACGGCGUUGGAUACUGGCAGGCUAGACGGCUGGAGAGGAAAGUGGAAUUACCAGUGUAGCGGUGGAAUGCGUAGAUACUGGUAGGAACACCCAUUGCGAAGGCAGCUUUCUGGACAGCCCGUGACGCUGAGGCGCGAAAGUGUGGGGAGCAAACCGGAUUAGAUACCCGGGUAGUCCACACCCUAAAC